UUUGGGAAAUGAUGACAAGAUUGAAACAGUAACAUUUAACAGAGGCGCCAGCUCUGCUGAAUAAUCUUUUGCACGUCAGUCUGAUCCCAAA